rnacentral:snRNA from 1 species
AGCAUCUGUUCUUAUCAGUUUAAUAUCUGAUAUGUUCUCUAUCUGAGAACUUUAUAUUAAAUGGAUUUUUGGAGAGGGGGCGGGAGUAGGAACCCCAAUAGCAUCUGACAUCCAUAAGUUCAGCCCUUUAAAA